UCGUUCUUUGUUUGGAUUCAGAUAAGGGCAUUUUCAAGUUUCUUGAGAUCACGGUGGAGGCCGGCCAAUUCUGUUUCCACCCGAGGAUCCAUCAUCUCUGUCCCUGGUCUCUUGCGCACGUCAGCUGGCGAGAACUCAGACGGGGCAGGCGCAAGGUUACUUCCAUUGUUCAUGUAAACCAGGUCAAGGUAACCGAUUGUUGCGAGGCUGUUUUAUAUCCGUGUAUUUCAUCAGUCCUCGUGGAUGGACGCUAGGCCUCCUUUGUUCUGAAUGAUAGAGGAACAUGCUGGAAGAGAGAAAGUUCCCUGAAAAGUGGCUAACAUAACUAUACCGAGAUAGCCAUUAAAAUCGACACGGAAUGCCUGAAUAGAUGCUGCACCGUUUCCAGAAAGUUGCCCUUUCUGAUUCUGACGACCAAAGCCUGCCCAUCAAACAGCGGCACCGACAGGGAAAACGCACGGCUGUCUAGAACGAUCGUUGUAGUUUAC
rnacentral:lncRNA from 1 species